GUGAUGGCUUCGGCAGCACAUAUACCAAAAUUGGAAUGAUACAGAGAAGAUUAGCAUGGCCCCUGUGUAAAGACGACAUGCAAAUUCAUGAAGCAUCCCAUUAAAAA
ensembl:snRNA U6 U6 spliceosomal RNA